rnacentral:rRNA from 1 species
UACGGGGGGGGCAAGCGUUGUUCGGAAUUACUGGGCGUAAAGGGCUCGUAGGCGGCCAACUAAGUCGGAUGUGAAAUCCCCAGGCUUAACCUGGGAACUGCAUCCGAUACUGGAUGGCUUGAAUCCGGGAGAGGGAUGCGGAAUUCCAGGUGUAGCGGUGAAAUGCGCAGAUAUCAGGAGGAACACCGGUGGCGAAGGCGGUUCUCUGGGCCUUACCUGACGCUGAGGAGCGAAAGCGUGGGGAGCGAACAGG